rnacentral:tRNA from 1 species
UAGUACAAAUGGUUAGUGCACUUGGCUGCUAACCAAAAGGUUGGUGGUUCAAAUCCACC